AUUGAACGCUGGCGGCAGGCCUAACACAUGCAAGUCGAGCGGAUGAAGGGAGCUUGCUCCUGGAUUCAGCGGCGGACGGGUGAGUAAUGCCUAGGAAUCUGCCUGGUAGUGGGGGAUAACGUCCGGAAACGGGCGCUAAUACCGCAUACGUCCUGAGGGAGAAAGUGGGGGAUCUUCGGACCUCACGCUAUCAGAUGAGCCUAGGUCGGAUUAGCUAGUUGGUGGGGUAAAGGCCUACCAAGGCGACGAUCCGUAACUGGUCUGAGAGGAUGAUCAGUCACACUGGAACUGGGACACGGUCCAGACUCCUAAGGGAGGCAGCAGUGGGGAAUAUUGGACAAUGGGCGAAAGCCUGAUCCAGCCAUGCCGCGUGUGUGAAGAAGGUCUUCGGAUUGUAAAGCACUUUAAGUUGGGAGGAAGGGCAGUAAGUUAAUACCUUGCUGUUUUGACGGUACCAACAGAAUAAGCACCGGCUAACUUCGUG
rnacentral:rRNA from 1 species